rnacentral:rRNA from 1 species
UACGGGGGGAGCAAGCGUUAUUCGGAAUUACUGGGCUUAAAGGGUGCGUAGGCUGCGCGGAAAGUUGGGUGUGAAAUCCCUCGGCUCAACCGAGGAACUGCGCCCAAAACUACCGUGCUCGAGGGAGACAGAGGUGAGCGGAACUUAGGGUGGAGCGGUGAAAUGCGUUGAUAUCCUAAGGAACACCCGUGGCGAAAGCGGCUCACUGGGUCUUUUCUGACGCUGAGGCACGAAAGCUAGGGUAGCGAACGGG